UACAGAGGUCUCAAGCGUUGUUCGGAUUCAUUGGGCGUAAAGGGUGCGUAGGCGGCGCGGUAAGUCGGGUGUGGAAAUUUCGAGGCUUAACUUCGAAACUGCAUUCGAUACUGCCGGUGCUUGAGGACUGGAGAGGGAGACUGGAAUUUACGGUGUAGCGGUGAAAUGCGUAGAUAUCGUAAGGAAGACCAGUGGCGAAGGCGCACAUCUGGCCC
rnacentral:rRNA from 1 species